AGAAAAGAAAAAAAAAUAGUAUAAAUACUGCAAAAAUUCAGAUCCACACAGAUGAGAACCACAGAACAAUUGGUGUGUGUGUGCGUGUGUUGCAUUAUGCUAAUGACAAUAAUAGAGGUAGUAAUGAUAUAUAGUGAUGAUAUAUACUUUAUAACAUGUAUUAAGAUGACAGAUGAAAUGAGACUGUUCCACUCAUAUUUUGUUUUCAUGUCUUUAAGGGCGAGAUUUUUGAUCCUAGAAAGACCAGAACAUGAGUGCCUAAGGAGAAUAUGAUGCUUGAGAGGAAAUGGGACCUCUGACAGUGACCCUGGUUUCAGUCUCUGGUGGGCUUCAAUUCUGAGGGAAGAAAAACUAAUAAACAUGACUAUAAAAAAUGAUGCAACCUUGGGUAAAGUGAAAGAUGUCAAAAGACGCAAAAUGGGAAAUGUCCCAAUUUUUGGAAGGGGUAUAAAGGUUAAUUAAGAGUAUUGGAGGACUGAUAAAACAUAUUGACUAUCCCCUGGCAACACUGCAGAAUGAGUUUUAUUUAAACAUGGGAUGUGGUGUUUAGAUAGGAAUAUCCAGGAAGCGGGAUUUGAUCCUGUAAAGACAUGGGGUGAUGAUGUAACUUACUUAAUGUUACUGUUUACCUAGUAAGUAAAAGAUCUUGCUUCAUCCUUAGCACUCGAAACCAAAACAAACCCAAAUAUUUGAAACUCACUUUUUCUCCCCUGUGUGGUUUAAUUAUUUCAAGAUCCUGAGAUAAUGAAGAUUGUAGCAGUCCAAUUAGAUAAAUAAUAAAUAAAUAAAUAAAUAAAUAAAUAAAUAAAUAAAUAAAUAAAUAAAUGGCUAACACUGACUAAGUGUGUCUGGAACCACCUAAUGCCAUAAACACAUAAACACAUUAAUUUAUUUAGUCUUCUUCAGUUCUCUGUGAGGUUGGGACCAUGUUUAUUUCUAUAAUGUAUAUGGAAAAACCCAGGAGCCAAGGCACUUAGAUCACAGGAAUUCGGUAUUUUGUGACUUCCCCAUGGCCUCAAACAAAGUCCGGUUGUUAUGGUGUGACUAUGAAUUGUUUCCCAUGGGGUCCUGGGGUGAUUUCUCAGUAACCUCAGCUAGUGACUCUGAUGUGGGUGGUGGUUGGAGCUUCCGGAGACAGGACUAGCUAGCACAAUGGUCUCAACCCUCCUUCUACUCUGAUCCGUAAGCCCAGUUCCUCAUGUUGUGUUGACCUCGCCCAGCCAUAAAAUUAUUUUCAUUAUUACAUCACAGCUGUACUUUUCUACUGUUAUGCAUCAUAAUGUAAAUCUCUGUGAUUUCCAGUGAUCUGUGGUGUCUCCUGUGAGAAGGUCAUUUGACCUUCAAAGGGGCUGCAACCCAUAGGUCAACCUCUUGGUAGAGGAAGCAGGCCCCUGGGGGCGGAGCCUGUGAAGGCUCUGCUUGGGUUCGCAGUCCUUUCCUCUCAGUUCUUCUGCCAUCAGGAGUCUCUGUCUGAGUGCGUGGAGCCGAACACCAGAGGACUGCACUCCUGAACCUCUGAGCUGUAAUAAAUCUUUCUUCCCUUGGUUGGCCUCUCAGGAAACUCGGGAGAUCGUAGAGUAAACCUCUGUGGCCUUCGUGUCUGGAGCCAACGUGGAUGGACAGAAGGAAUAAACCUGGUGAGUUGUUCCCAUAGGAAGAGCAUCCAGAGCCGCCACACCGGAAGUGCAGGGCAUGCAGCAACUGGGCAUGAAUAAAGAGACUGUGCAGAAGGAAACCACUGAUUCCUGGGUCCUUUCAUGAUCCCUGCAUGUAGUUAAGGCUCACCUAAUUCCCUACUGUAAAAAUAACAUAGGUUGAUUUUUAUUGUUAUUUAUGGUUUUUUCUUGUAUCUUUAAAAAAUGCCUGUGGGUGUUUUUCUUGUGUGAUUGUCUAUGUAUCAUGUGUUUAGUGCUUGCAGGGGCUAGAAGAGAGCAUUAGGUCCCUGGAAAGGGAGUUAAAGAGACUUGGGCCACCGUAUGAGUUCUGGGAAUCCAACCCAAGUUCUCUAGAAGACCAGGUUCUCUGCCAAGCCGUCUUUCCAGCCCCCGAACCUUCGUCCUUAAGUCGGCAUGGCAGUAGGGCUUUGGGUUACUGCUACUACUUACAGGAUGAAUUAAAAUGUUCUGGUUUCCAACCUCAUUGUAGUCUGCAAAUUUAAAUCUCCUUUCCUAACCUAGCAGCACAUUUUAACACUUUAGCACUAUGAUGGUUUACCCCUCUGUCUAACCUUCCUUGCUUAUUCUAAUGAACAGUGACAUCACAAAUAGUAACAGUUCACAAUCGCAAGUCCCUGAGUUAUUAAAAGGCUCUGGUAAAAUUGGCUGGGUCUUCAGUAAAAACCAAAACCUAUUUAGCAGGUCACAGAUUAGCUUGCCCCUCCCACUUCGCAGCUCGAUUGUAUUUGAUAUUAUUAUUAUUAUUAUUAUUAUUAUUAUUAUCAUUGUAUAUCAGCUACUGUUGAGUUAAUUGUUAGAGUACUGAAAGACGCAAAGAUGUCCUGGAUUUAAUCCAUUCUGGCAAGAGGGAAAUGACUAACAGGUAUGAGGUGGUGGUGGUGGUGGGGUUGUUAACUUUUGAGAACUGACUUUGAAUUCCUUCAGACCUUUGUAAAACUGUCCCAAGUCCUUCUGAGAUGGCACAAGAUGCCCCUGCCCACUUCUACUCAUGGCAGACAGAGGGAUGUGGGAGGAGACUUACAGGUAGUAAGGAAACUGGUUUGUGUUAGAAGACGUUGCUCAGUGACGAAUCCACCAGGGAUUUUUCUUGCCCCACUCAAAACACUCAUCCUGAGUGUGGUUUGAGACUUGGAGAUGGGAAAGUGGAAAUCUGUUUCACUAUUAGCAGUGGAAUAUGCGACAUUUCUUUAGGUUGUAUUUAAACACUCAGUCAUAGUUUUCUAAAGAACCAUAUCUUUCUUUAGACCAUCCAGUGAGGUCCAAGAACUUCUGUCAGUAGAUGAUCUAACAGAGUAGCUUUAUCAUUUAGUAGCACAUUGGAAAAACCUUCUAAAAAAAAACCCAGCUUCCUUAAUGGGCUAUCAAAAUUAUUGUACCUCAUCCCAUGACCUCCUGUGUUGGUGGGUGUUAUGCUUGGCAAAGAAAGAUGGCCUGGCACAUUGUUUGAAGAAACCUCUCCUUCUCUGGAAGGAGCAUGUAAUCUUGGUACAGCACUGUGGAAAACUGCAGAGCUUCAUUGUUUGAACAGUCUGGCAUAGGGUCUCUUUAGGAGAGGGCUGUGUCUUCACGCUCACGACAAAUUGGAACUAUCUUUGUAGCUAUGUUUUAACAGAGGUAUGCUUAACAACGGUGCAUUAAACACCCCUGUAAACACCAAGUUUUCAAACAUCUACACAAGACUACACAGGUAGCCCACACACUAUUAAGAGGUAUACAGUUAGUAACCAGGUUGGCUUGCCCUGUGAUUCACUGUUUCAUUUGCAUAGGUAAAACGAACAGGGUGGAUAUGCUGGGCCUGGAAUACACAAACAGGAGUGGUGUCUUGGACGUGUGUGAAGUCACAAGAGACAGUGUGCUCAGAAGUCAGCUCUCAUUCUAAUACUUAUGGUGUCACUGCCUUGAAAUCUCAAAAUAUUGGGUUCUUGCAUUUUGGUUCUGUGCUGGAGCCUGCACAUUUCAACAGGAAGUUCUGCUUCUGGGUGAUUAAUUACUUUGCUGACACUUAGACAAUUCCCAAAUAUUGACAGAAACAUAAGGUGAGUAGAAGUGGCCAGGGACUAUGAGCUGAAGCAGUAUCGAGAGUUAGUAUUAUGUUAUGAUUUUAACAUGCUUUAUUUUUAAACUGGGAGAUUUCUUCUGGUUUAUGCAAGAACUUCUUGCCUCCUAAAUUCCUAUAUUUACAAGUCAAGAAAAUAUUCACUGGGAGUGGAAAGAAAUAGGGAGUGGAUCCAGGGAAAUGUGAGAGAGCCUUAUUGUUUUGCGUCAUGGGCAGCUUUGGCCCACAGAUCUGGCUCAGAUCGCUGUGUCAGGACUUUCUGUGGCCCCUUGCCAAAGGGAGGGAGGCCUCAGCAGGUGCUCUGGCUUCAGAUUCCUACUGGGGUCUAACUCUUGACAGAGCCCACCUCCUUCAUGCCUGAGCCCAGGUGCUACCCUCUUUGGAAGUUCCACACCCCGUCCACUCCACCUCACCACUCCACUCACAACGGCUGCCCACCCCCAUCCUCACUCCUGAUGUCCCGGAGUUUUUUCAUAAAACUUUCAGUUUAAAUGCAUAAGACUCGGUGCACAGUCACAAACUGAAUUAAAGUGUGAGCAAACGAGUUGAUAGACACAUCCUUCACCAUCAAAGCUAAACCUUUAAGUAAGAAGCAACAUACCAGCCAACCCAUUGCCCCUCUUCUAAUUGGGUCCGUUCUCUGCAAAUUGACAGUAGUUCUCAGAAUUCAUCACAUUUCCCAGAAAUGCCUUGCGUUUACAGAUCUAUAAUCUUCAGAGAGUUAAGAUGUAGGGGCAGUUCCAUUUGAGUCCUUCCAUAUUAAGUACUGCAUUUUCCAACAUUCCCAGAGUUAUGAAGAGACGGGAAUGUGGAAGGGGAGGUGGGCUGACUGGUGCUACUCAGCUAAAAAGGGAUCUUUCUGUUCUCUAGGAACCCACUCAGGAUUCAGUUUUUAUUCUUCACCUUGGACCGCGCUUACUACCAGAGAGUAAACUGUAGUGAACCGUGUCAGUGUGACCUGCCUUCUUCCACAUCUCUCAAAAUAAUCGAGAGUUUGGUAUCACCGUUUCCAGUAACACUAAAUAUCGAUUCCAUGUUGGGUAUGUUGACGCCUUGAAUCACAGCACUUUGGAGGCAGAAGCAGGCAGAUCUCUGUGAAUUCAAGGUCAGGUUAGUCUAAAUGGUGUCAAGCCAUCCAUGGCUACAUAGUGGGUAAAAGUCUAUUAAAAGUCUAUUUCAACAGCCCUUUGUCCAUAUAAAACUCAGUCAUUUGUCAAAUGUAUACUAACUUGAAUUAGCCUCAAGUGUGUUUUGAAGUUCUAAGUAUACUAUUUAAUUGGUGUAAAGUUGUCUUGUUUUCAAAUUUUAGCUGGGAACGGAACUCAUUGACUAACAAGCGUUUUGAUCAUCAGUUUAGCUGACAAGGAGCCGCUCGAGGGUUGGAGCGAUGAAGGCAGAAUGUGAAGGCGAUUGAAUCAAAGUCAGUUCAGAGCAUCCAGACCAUAGUGCCCUCCUUCAGAUAAUCCUUUCUGAGUCCUUUCAUAACUGUCCCUCGUGGUCUCUAAAUCGUUGAGAAAAUUUAUGAAUAAUCUUAAAAUUAAAUCUACUGGUGUAGGAAGCCAGUGGCUUACAAUAUUUUAAGAGAAAAUGUCGCUUGGCUUAGCCAAACUACAUGCAGAUGAAAAUUUUCAAUUAUCUGUAGUAACAAGAAUAUCUUUUUAGUCAUUUGAAACCUCUGUGGGAUAAGCACAAUACUUACUGCUUAUUUCAUUUUUAUUGCCGGGAGUUAAAGGAUCACAAUUCAACAAUAAUACAAAAAAAAAA
rnacentral:sRNA from 1 species